rnacentral:lncRNA from 1 species
AAUGCAGAGUGGCACCAGAGUUAGGACACAUGAAGCUAUGGCCUUGGUGGACAUGGGAAUGUGCCUCUCAGAUCUUAGUCUCUAGGGAGUGAAACAGAUUUAGGGCUUUGGCUCAUGGCUAUGAAAUCUAUUGCCAUAUAAGUGCCAAUGACCGAGUGCAGUGGGAACACUAAGCAGAACCACUCCUGGGAGGCGAGUACCCUGUGGUCCCUUUGACAGAUGAUUUGGGCUCAAGGACUCCUUAACAGCUUUGCUGAAUUUUCCUUAAAACUGCACUGCAGUCUCAGAUGCACCCACCCAAUCUUCUUUCUUCUUUAAUUUGGGAUCAGAAAUCCAAUGCGAUCUAAUGCUUUCCCAGACUUUUUUCAUUCACAGGUAUUUCCCCCAAGAUUUUCUUGUAUGUUGGAUUCAGCCUUGAACUCUGCCUUUCAGAGGACCUCAACUAACUCAGAAGCUAUUUGUUACUGUCAUUGAUAUUAAUAUGCUCUUUCUACAAUGUCUACAUAAUUGUCGAACAUAGAAAUGUAUGCGGGGAGUUCCCAUUGUGGCUCAGCAGUAACAAAAAACUAGGAUCCAUGAGGAUGCGGCUUUGAUCCUUGGUCCUGCUCAGUGGGUUAAGGAUCUGGUGUUGCCAUGACCUGUGGUGUAGGUCGCAGAUGGGGCUCAGAUCUGCUGUUGCUGUGACUGUGGCAUAGGCCAGCAGCUGUAGCUGCAAUUCAACACUAGCCUGGGAAAUUUCGUAUGCUGCAGGUGUGGCCCUAAAAAGCAAAAAAAAAAAAAAAAAAAAAAAAAAAAAGGAAAAAAGAAAUGUGUGCCAUGAAUUCUGUAGUGAUACACUGAAUUCUGUAGUGUGCCAUGAAUUCUGUAGUGAUACACUUGUUUAAGAAAGAAUGGAUUAAACCAAAAUGUCCUUGAGUAAGAUGGUCCCAAGAAUGGGUAGGCAUAUCCCCCAAAGUGAUUAGUGGGAAAGAAAUGAGUUCAUUGUAUAGUAUGUCUUCCUUUCUCUCUUCUUAAUUAUAUUCCUUUUCCUUUUUGGACUAGAGCAAUUUUUAAAAAUCACUUUUCUGGUGCUUUUUAGUUUCUUCUCAUUUUAGUCCUUUUUGCUUUAGUCAAUAAAUAAUAAAAAUGUUGAUCUAAUUUGGGAAGAGGUAGGAGAGGAGAACCCAAAUCCUUACAGAAUCACCAAAAUAGAAAGACAUGAAAACUUCCUGGGUAAAUGUUCCUUUAAGACUCUUUCUAGCCUUGUGAUCCCAGGUUUAGUUGUACCAGGAAUUAAAGAAUAUGAGAGGUAGAGGGGCUCAUAGUGGGAAUUAUCUAGAUCCCAUACAUUCUGACUCCAAAAAGCCUGAAUCAUUAUAACAAGUCAUUUUCUAUUCUUUUCUUUGUCAUUUAUGAAUAUCUACCAUUUACCUGACCAUCUAUUUCACUCUCCUGUCAUUUUAAUGAGAACAAAUUUAUUUUUAAAAUCUUAAGAGGACUUUUUUUUUUUUUUUUUUUUUUUAGGGCCUCUUAAAAUCCCCACAGAUGCAGUGAACAAAUCCGUUUGAUCCCUGAAAAUUGUAAUCAGGUCAGCCUUUAGCAUUUUUUUUCGUUGCAGUGUAAAGAGCCAAUUUCAUUCAUUAAUUUGUGUAUUCAUUUAGCAAGUAAUUUUAGAGCCUUAUUAUACCAGAUUUUUUUUUUUUUUUUUUUUUUUUUGCCCAUUUCAUUACUUCUGUUUGUAUUUCUUGGACUCUUUUCAGCUGUUUGAAAACUCUUUAAAGGCUGAUGACCAAUAUUAGACAUGCUAUUAUUAUAAAGAUCUGACUUACUGAAAGGAUUAGAUGAUAGCUUUCGUUUCAAUGUUUAUUACCGCCUAAAAUAUUAUAUCACUUCCCUUGUUCAUAUACUACUCACGAACAUCAACUCUGUCCAAACUACUGGAAAAGUAUGUAAUCAAAUACCACUUCCAGAUCUCCUUUUCUAUGUUACAUUAAGUAGUGUUUUAUGUUUGUAAUUUAUCCGUCCUAUUUCACAGUUUUUAGUAUGAGAAAUUUUUUAAUUUAUUCACACUAUUCAUUUUCUUUAACCCCCCUCCAUUUUUAAAAUUUUGGAAUAAUCCGGUCUAUAUUUACAAAAGAACUUACUGAGAUAUUUAUGGGAAUUACACUAAAUCUGUGUAUUAAUUUUGAAAGAAUUGACAUCUUUACUAUGUUGAAUCUGCCAACUCAAGAAUGAUUGGCCAGCAGAGGCCUUCCAUGUAGUACAGAGAACUCUACCCAAUAUUCUGUGAUAAUCUCUGUGGAAAAACAAUCUGAAAGAGAAUGGGUAUUUGUACAUGUAUAACUGAAUCACUUUGUUGUACAGCAGAAAUUAUCACAACCUUGUAAAUCAACUAUACUCCAACAAAACCUUAAAAAAUACAUUCCACCUCUUUAUUUCAUUAAAAUCACCUUGAUAUACAAUGAAGGUGAAAAUCCAGGUUCUAGCACUUAUUAGCCAUGUGCCUUUGAACAAAUUAUUUAACCCCUCUAUUUCUUCAUUUGGAAAAUGAGGACAAUUAUACUUAAAUGAUAAGUAUGAUAGGACGGCAGAAAUGACAUAUUAACACAUAGCUAAUAUAAAGUAGGUGCUGAAAAUGUUAGUCUUUCUUGUAGAUAUGGCUGGUUAUUUACAUUACACUAAAUUGAAAAAAAAAAGGAGCUUAACUUAAGAGAGAAUUUAGCUAGAGAAAAUCUUCAAAAAAAAAAAAAAAACCUCAGAAAGGGAAUGCAGUGUUAGCUCUUUUGGCAAAAGCAUAUUUAAGAGACUUAAAAGAGAAGAAUCAUAUAUCAUAUCAUAUUCUUUUCAUAUUUGCCUUAAUGUAGAUCAGGGCCACAGAUAAAACAUUUUUCCUCCAAUUUAGACAUCUGAAAAAUUAUUUCAAUACAGAAAAAAUGCAUUUAAUUUUCUCAAAAGUAGAUAUGUUUCUCAUUAGACCAAAGAGAGAAACUCAGAGAAGGGAAACCUUAUUAGACACAUGAGAACUACCUCCAAAUAGUGGCAACAUUGUCACAUAGAAGAAGAUCCCAGGAAGG